UACGUAGGGGGCGAGCGUUGUCCGGAUUUACUGGGCGUAAAGCGCGCGCAGGCGGUCGUUCAAGUCGAGUGUGAAAGCCCCCGGCUCAACUGGGGAGGGUCACUCGAUACUGAUCGACUUGAAGGCAGAAGAGGGAAGCGGAAUUCCCGGUGUAGUGGUGAAAUGCGUAGAUAUCCGGAGGAACACCAGUGGCGAAGGCGGCCGCCUGGACCUGACCUGACGCUGAGGCGCGAAGGCGUGGGGAGCGAACGGG
rnacentral:rRNA from 1 species